GACGAACGCUGGCGGCGUGCCUAAUACAUGCAAGUUGAGCGAUGAAGAUUGGUGCCUGCACCAAUUUGAAGAGCAGCGAACGGGUGAGUAACGCGUGGGGAAUCUGCCUUUGAGCGGGGGACAACAUUUGGAAACGAAUGCUAAUACCGCAUAACAACUUUAAACAUAAGUUUUAAGUUUGAAAGAUGCAAUUGCAUCACUCAAAGAUGAUCCCGCGUUGUAUUAGCUAGUUGGUGAGGUAAAGGCUCACCAAGGCGAUGAUACAUAGCCGACCUGAGAGGGUGAUCGGCCACAUUGGGACUGAGACACGGCCCAAACUCCUACGGGAGGCAGCAGUAGGGAAUCUUCGGCAAUGGACGAAAGUCUGACCGAGCAACGCCGCGUGAGUGAAGAAGGGUUUCGGAUCGUAAAACUCUGUUGGUAGAGAAGAACGUUGGUGAGAGUGGAAAGCUCAUCAAGUGACGGUAACUACCCAGAAAGGGACGGCUAACUACGUG
rnacentral:rRNA from 1 species